UAGGGAAUCUUCCACAAUGGACGCAAGUCUGAUGGAGCAACGGCCGCGUGAGUGAAGAAGGUUUUCGGACCGUAAAGCUCUGUUGUUGGUGAAGAAGGAUAGAGGUAGUAACUGGCCUUUAUUUGACGGUAAUCAACCAGAAAGUCACGGCUAACUACGUGCCAGCAGCCGCGGUAAUACGUAGGUGGCAAGCGUUGUCCGGAUUUAUUGGGCGUAAAGCGAGCGCAGGCGGAAGAAUAAGUCUGAUGUGAAAGCCCUCGGCUUAACCGAGGAAUUGCAUCGGAAACUGUUUUUCUUGAGUGCAGAAGAGGAGAGUAGAACUCCAUGUGUAGCGGUGGAAUGCGUAGAUAUAUGGAAGAAUACCAGUGGCGAAGGCGGCUCUCUGGUCUGCAACUGACGCUGAGGCUCGAAAGCAUGGGUAGCGAACAGGAUUAGAUACCCUGGUAGUCCAUGCCGUAAACGAUGAGUGCUAAGUGUUGGGAGGCUUCCGCCUCUCAGUGCUGCAGCUAACGCAUUAAGCACUCCGCCUGGGGGAGUACGACCG
rnacentral:rRNA from 1 species